CAGUCGCCGCGGGAAUGCGAAGGGGGCUAGCGUUGUUCGGAAUUACUGGGCGUAAAGGGCGCGUAGGCGGCCAUUCAAGUUAGAUGUGAAAGCCCUGGGCUCAACCUAGGAAUUGCAUUUGAUACUGUUUGACUUGAGUUCGGGAGAGGUGAGUGGAAUUCCCAGUGUAGAGGUGAAAUUCGUAGAUAUUGGGAAGAACACCAGUGGCGAAGGCGGCUCACUGGACCGACACUGACGCUGAGGCGCGAAAGCGUGGGGAGCAAACAGGAUUAGAGACCCGUGUAGUCCCUGUCUCUUAUAC
rnacentral:rRNA from 1 species